rnacentral:rRNA from 1 species
GAUGAACGCUGGCGGCGUGCCUAAUACAUGCAAGUCGAGCGAACGGACGAGAAGCUUGCUUUUCUGAUGUUAGCGGCGGACGGGUGAGUAACACGUGGAUAACCUACCUAUAAGACUGGGAUAACUUCGGGAAACCGGAGCUAAUACCGGAUAAUAUUUUGAACCGCAUGGUUCAAAAGUGAAAGACGGUCUUGCUGUCACUUAUAGAUGGAUCCGCGCUGCAUUACCUAGUUGGUAAGGUAACGGCUUACCAAGGCAACGAUGCAUAGCCGACCUGAGAGGGUGAUCGGCCACACUGGAACUGAGACACGGUCCAGACUCCUACGGGAGGCAGCAGUAGGGAAUCUUCCGCAAUGGGCGAAAGCCUGACGGAGCAACGCCGCGUGAGUGAUGAAGGUCUUCGGAUCGUAAAACUCUGUUAUUAGGGAAGAACAUAUGUGUAAGUAACUGUGCACAUCUUGACGGUACCUAAUCAGAAAGCCACGGCUAACUACGUG